rnacentral:sRNA from 1 species
GAUGCAUGGGAAGACACGGAGACAGCUGAUUUUACCCACGUGGCCGGCAGGGCUCCAGAGUGGAGUCGGGCUUUGGAGAUGCCCAGAGCGACCAUGGCUGCCACAUUGUAAAUCACCUUGUGAGGGCAAAAUGCAAAGAGGUGACCCUGCACAAGGACGGGCCCCUGGGGGAGACAGUCCUGGAGUGCUACAACUGCGGCUGUCGCAACGUCUUCCUCCUCGGCUUCAUCCCGGCCAAAGCUGACUCAGUGGUGGUGCUGCUGUGCAGGCAGCCCUGUGCCAGCCAGAGCAGCCUCAAGGACAUCAACUGGGACAGCUCGCAGUGGCAGCCGCUGAUCCAGGACCGCUGCUUCCUGUCCUGGCUGGUCAAGAUCCCCUCCGAGCAGGAGCAGCUGCGGGCACGCCAGAUCACGGCACAGCAGAUCAACAAGCUGGAGGAGCUGUGGAAGGAAAACCCUUCUGCCACGCUGGAGGACCUGGAGAAGCCGGGGGUGGACGAGGAGCCACAGCAUGUCCUCCUGCGGUACGAGGACGCCUACCAGUACCAGAAC